CCUGCCAUGGCUCUCAGUGGUUAGAGCAUGAAUGCUUGUAAACCAGGGGUCGUGAGUUCAAUCCUCACUGGUAUUA